CUAUUGUGAAAAGAACUCAUUUUCACGACUUCAGGAUGCUCUGGCCGUGUGUUAACGAGCAGGGCUAGAGAACAGAGGGAGGCGCCUUCUAAACACCUUUUAAAAAGGAACAGCUGAACCUCAGGUGAUUCCGACUUGAUGACUCUUCGAGUUCGCCCUCCACGUUUCCUGAGUACUGUGCUUCUCUUCCGAGCAGCGACUCAUCAGCAGCUCUCUCAGGCUGGCUCCCGUCCCUCAGGCCCUGUCAGUUAAGCCACUCACUACGUGGGAUCAAAGGCUCUCAGGGACCAGGGGUGCCGCGGAGGCUGAAGCUGUGGCUGCACUGGUGCAGCCGGUGCCCACAGACCCAGUAGACACCGAAGGCCUCUGAGCAAGUCCUCGGACAGACACCCGGUGAGCUGCCCAGCUGCAGGGUUACGCUUGCAGCAGGUGAGCACCCCGUCGCCGGCCUCACACGCGGCUGCAGACCGAGAGCUAAAAGCCGGCGCCCGUAGGGUCUGGCCACCCUCUACCCAGGCACCUUCUGUGCAUCCGAGCUGCCAAUGGGGUUGGCGCGUCGGGUCCCCCCAGUCUGUGGUGACAGCUCACUCCUAAAACCACGUCCUGGUACGCUGGGCCUGGGGGAAACUCAAACCAGCACUGACAUUUUUGUCCUGAGGAGCCUGGUGGUAGCAGGAAUCUUGCACGCAUGCCUUGAGUUGGAUAAACCAGUGGAGAAACCACCAGGCCGCUUGUCUUGUGUCCUGUGUGCCCAGGUGCCUCCGCCAGGGGCUUCCACCUGGAUGGGAGGCCUUCUGACCCGUCCAGAGGCAGCUCACCUCCUCCAGGGACUCUGGCACCUGCCCUGCCCAGGAGGGAAAGGAUGUUCUAAUACUGAAGUCAGUCCAACAAAGAUCAUGGCUCCCUAAUGGAUGUGGAGAAUGAGAAAUCCCCAAGAUAAUGAGGCCUGAGAAGAGGGAGUGGAAACGAAGGCCGGGCACUGACAGCCUUCGCCUCCCAGACAGAGGUUUCGGGGUGCGGCUGCAGAUGGAAGGAGGCGUCUUACACCCCUGGAGAACCAGUCUCUAGGGGGCGCUGACCUCCGCCAAACCCCUGUUCCUGUGUGAAGCUCCGUCCCUGAAUGAACAGCCGAGCUGACUCCUGAACUUGCGCCCUGCCUGGUCUUCCUGUGCUAACACUCCCCCUCCUGAGGGAGGCGCUGGCCAGGACGGCUGGGCCCAGCGUUUAGCGAGGUGACCCACACCGUGGGGAGGUGGCCCGCUGUCGCUGGCUCUGGGAGACAGGCACUGUGAGAGCAGCUUGGUUGUCCCUGUGGAGAGAGCCCUCUACAGAAGGAUAUGGAGGAAGUCAUCGCCUCCCUGCUGCCUCUAGCAAGGGUGGCCAUUCCAGUGUGGACUCACAGGGGGUGCCCAUGAGCACCUGCUGCCUCUGCAGACAAGCCACUCAGUUUCCCUGUCAGCUCCUGCCUGGACUUGCUGAACAUGCUCAGAAUCCAUUAGACCUGCCCAAGGAGGUUGGAAAAAAGCUGUUUCUGCUCAAAACUCCCAGUGGAAGUCAACUCCCAAGACAUUCCAAAGCCUGCCUCAGCUGGUCAGGAAAAAUUGGUCAAUUGAGAUCACUCAGAGCAGAGGGAGGGAGGCAGGGAGGACGGGAGGACCAAAGAGAGGGGCCAUCUGGGCCAGGGUCAAGUACGUUGGCUUCACUGAGCCAGUGCUCUUGGGAAAGGCUCACUUGGGUCCAGAGCCUCACGGGACAGCGUCCAUCAACACCACCAUCUCUGAAAACAAAACAAGGUCGCUCUGUAGUUUCCCUCCUACCCAGGUUCCACAUCCUCAAAUCAAUCAACAGCAGACGGAAAGAACCUGGGGAACCUGCAAGUGUACUGAGCACGAACAGCCUCCCGCUCACGUUACUGUUCUCAGCAGUACGGUACGGCAAACCUCCAGAGCUCGCGCCGCGUCACGCUGGAUGGUGAGGAAUCCGGAGGUGACUUAAAGCACACGGGAGGACAGAGGUAGGCUGCAUGCAAAUCCUGCACCGCUCAACAGAGGGACUUGAGCACCUGCAGACUUUGGAGUGGAGGUGGGGGUCCUGGGUCGGGGCCCCUGUGGCUCCCAGGGAGGCCUCAUGGAGGAAGGAGUAGCCCACCAGCUCUGAGCUGGCGCCUCUUUGGGAGCUCCAGGCCUCCUCUUGCCCUCUGCUCCUCUGCUGUGCCAUGAGAAGAGCACCCCCAUCUUGCCCGCCAGUCAGAGGGGAGAGUCACAUGAGGGACGGCACAGAGCAGCCAGCUGAGCCCAGCCGAGAUGCUGACCCCCAGCAGCUGACGGAACAGGAGGACAGUGCCACCGAGACUUGUGCUGCUUGUUACAGAGCAGUAUCGGAGGGACGCAGCACUAAAGAAAGCAAUGGAGUGUGAGCAGGGAGGGGAUGGGCAGAGGUCGUAGGCAGGGCUGUCCGGUGCAUGCACCCACAGCGGCCCCGUAGCCUCAGACGUGUUACUGGUCCCAUUAGGGAAACACUCUUUGGAAUCCUACGCCCAAAUCAGCUAAGCAUUUGGAAGCUGGAGGCUGGGGAGAGGUGCCAGACGCCGUCUGUCUUCAUGUUGGCUUUUCAGGUCCAGCGACCUGUACAACAGGGAGCACGUGUGUAGACCACCAGAAUGACCUUGCUCCCUUCCGCAGAUGAGGGCGUCUUCUCGGACGUCCACAGGGAGGCCAUCAAUGCCGCUGGGCAUCAGGGAACUGUGCAGACGCGGCACCUCUCUAGAAACAGGAGCCCGUGCUCUGGCCACCUCGCAUGUUUUCACAGGUGGUCCAGCUCUUGGUUCCCAGGUGCCCAGGAAGGUGGUGCUCUCUGGCCACUGGGUUUGGGUGGAGCCAAGUGACUCCUGAGUGGAGCACUCCUCCCAGUCUGUGGUGAAGCUCGUGUUGUGACCAUGACCCUGACCAGCAGCGGCACGCCUGUCCCUGCUACAGGGCAGAGGAGCAGGGCAGGCUCAGCUCACCGGACGGCGCUAGUGACAAGGAGAAGGAGCUGUCCCCACACGGACCCUAGCACACGGGCCCCUGCUGCGUUGACAAACCUGCCUGCUGAGACCGGCACGGGCCAUGCCUGUGGCGUGGGAAAACAUGUUGCGACAGAGAGGAAGGAAACUGCACGUCAUGUGACUAGCUCAGUGCGACAUGGGGCAGGUAUAUGGGGUUUGAUUUUCAGCCCAGUCAAUGGAUAGGACCCACCUGUGGGAAGCAGAGGGAACAAGUUCAUCGGGCCCACCAGGCCCAGAAUCCAGGGCUCUGCCAGGCCUGGUUGGGGAAAUUAAGGGCCUCUAGAAGUAGUGUGUGGCCAGGGCACCUUGGGGGACACUCCCGGAAGUCCUGACACCAGCCAUCCACAUCCUCAGCCAGCUCCUGCCCUGCAGUUCACAAACAGCCUCCAGGACCUGGCAGCUGCAGGAGACCCCGUGUUCACCUCUACAAGCUGCUGUGGUGGCCCGAGUUCUUCCUGGUUGUUGAGCAAGGCCCUUCGUUUCUUUUUGCCAGGGGUCCCGCAAAUCAUAUAGCCUGUCCAGCCAAGGGGUGCUCAGUGGCAAACAGCAGACCUCCAGGUCAGGACAGGACCAGAGCCGGUCCAUUCAGGCUGCCCUGACAAACCCAUGCGCUGUGUGAAGCAAUAGACCUCGACUUCUGGUUCUGGAGGCUGGAAGCCCAAGGUCCAGGUACUGGCAGAUUCAGUCUGGCAGGCCCACGUCCUGGCUCACUGAUACAGUUUCCUGAUGUGUCCACACUGAGGUUCACACUGGGGUCUUUUCUGUACACAUGAAUCCUAUUCAUGCAAGCCCCACCCUGGGGACCCCCAAUACCUCCCAGACUCCACCUCAGUACCAACACAAGUACUGGGGGACACAAACAGAGCAUGGCAGCCAGCCCUGUGUACCAUGCCUCGCCUGGGGGAAGCUGGGCUCAGGAGAAAGGGCUCCAAGGCCAGGGAGAGGACUGAGCCUCCCACUUGGAUGGCCAGCAGCAGUUAGAGCUGUGUGGCUUAGUCGGAGCACUGACCGUCAGCCCCACGUCCCCGCGGUCCCUGCCUUGGCAGUGUAGCUCAUUACAGGGCUGAGAUGAGAGGAGGAGCUCCCAGCACACCAGGUGCCAGCUUCACCAGGAGACUUGCUGGAUACGUGUUGUCCCCAUGAGUAAGAGCAUUGCCCACUCACUGCAUAUGGAGGCCCAGAGGCACAGGGAGUGUAAGCCAUUUGCCCAAAGUAGUCAGGGCUCCAACAGGUCUAUGAUGGGCAAAGACCCAGGGCUGGAAGAGGCAGAGAACCAGGUGAAAAGGCUCAGACAGGAAGGCUGGAUGGUCCAGGAAGGGGAUGCUCAGAGCCCUUCAAUAGAGGAGAGAGGGAAGGGGCAGGGCCAGGGAUGAGGGGCUCUGAUCUCAGCUGCCAUCUCUCAAUCAGAAGCGCUGACCAAGGAGAGGCUGGGCAGAGCUCCCAGCCCUCUGGCCUCCUCAGCUUAGGCUGCAAAGCACAGCCUCACAGGUGGCUCUCGUCCAGGUCUCCAAAAUGUCAUCCUCCUUUAGGGAACACCAUCAAACCAAGCAGAUCCUUACCGUUGCCUAAUUUCGAAUGAACUUGUUAAAGCAUUUUUAGUGUAAUGAAAACAUUAGAGCGACUCCUAGCAGGGGCACUGUCACUAAAUCAAUAGCCUGCGGAGCCGUCAGGCUGAAGGCUGACAUGCAGGGAGGCCUGCCAACAGCAGGGCCACAGAAGUGCCCUCCUCGAGUGACCGGGUGGGGCAGAGAUGGGAGCCUGCUCCAUCUGCUGUGCGGAAGGCUGAGAAGAGGGAGCAGGUGGGUCUGAAUGUGGCUGAGGUCCUCAGCUCCCCAGGACGGUGGUGGGGCCGCCUCGCUGUGGUGUGCAGACGCUGCACCUACAAGACUCUCACACCCAGGCCCCAUUGCACGGGGAGAGCAUGGCAGAAACAAAUGCAGCCGAGGUGAGCGCUAGGGCCCCUGCAGGGCAGGGCUCCACUGUCCAAGGGAGCCGUCGGACACGCCCACCAUGAAGCAUGGGGUUUUGGAACCAUCAAGCUGCACAUUUGGGGCUUUCUUUUUCCUUUUCCUUGGCAGUGCUGGGAUUGAACCCAGGGCCUUGUGCUUGACAGGCAAGUACUCUACCAACUGAGCUAUGUCCCCAGCCCAACAUCUGGGCUUUCUAAGAAGGGGACAGUCAGGGAGGACAAGCCUGUUAUUCGGCAUCCCAGAGCAUCCAGGUGAGCUGCCCCAAAACUACCCAUUCUAUGCAUACACACGCCCCUACCCGUGCCCACAUGCUCUAUGGGCAGCACCUGAGAGGGAAUCAAGUUCACUAUGGGAUGAAGACAGAAGCACAGAGGAUGCAGAGCCAGAGCCCAGCAGAAGGGGUGUCUGCGUGAGCCUGGGGACCCCAGCAGCUCUGAGCCCCGAGGAAGCGUCAGAUGAGGGUGUGAAAGUCCGGGGUCUAAGGCAAAGUGGGGAAAGAACUGUCUGGGGAAUCAGAACGAGCCAGAAGGGGAAAAGCGUCACAAGAUGUGAGCAAAUUAACCCGGAAAAGGUGUCAGAGCACUGAGAACCCCACACGCCUCUAAAAGGAACGACCCUCCUACAGGCACAGGGGGUCAACUGCAAAACACAGGAAGGAGGCCUCCCUGGUGCUGGCAAGGCCAAGCAGCAGGAGACACGCAAAACCAACGCGCUCCAGGCAGGGACCAGUGACGCCACCGCCUCUACCUCGUCUAAACCCAGGCAAGGCACAACAGCCGGUGAACUGCCAACGGUGGCUCCAGGGGUAACAGUGAGUCAGGCAGAGCCACAGCUGUAACAAAGGGCGUCUGCUGGGACAUCCACCACGGGGACUGUGCCUAUGGGACUCCACUCUCCACUUGGUUUCUAUAUGAACCUAAAAUUGCUCAAGAAGCGAAACAUGCAGGACCUAUGUCAAGAAAACCUCUAGCUCUAGUGGGAGACAGUGUAAAGAUUCAGGUGAAGUAAUUUGCACUCAGAUAGGAAGAGUAAGUACUGUGCAGAUGUAAAUCUCUGCAAAUUAAUCUAUAUUCAUCCAAUGAGAUCACAAUCAAAAUAACAAGAAGAUUUUUCUGACCUUUGUAAAUAAUUAAAGAGCUAAUGGAAGCUGGGUUCAGUCCCCAGCACCACACACACAAAAAGUUAAUAGAAAAUACAAGUGUAAGAUGGGAUAUUGAAACAAAGCAGGGCUGGGAUGCGGUGUGACAGCAGAGCACUCGCUGAGCGCCACACGAGGCCUUGGGCUCCACCCAGUGCCCACCAAACACGUCCAUGGUAUAAGGCUAUGGUAAGAAAAAGAAUACGAUAAUAAGAAUCAAAUACUGGUUAAAAACAGCAGAGUCCAGCAAUAGACUCCAACACAUAGAGGGGUUAAUUAUAAUAUUUAAAAUAACAGAAGUGGUAAAAAGCAAACACUGAGCAUGGAUUGAAUGCCAAAAGUCAGUUCAUGAGCCUUGAUUUCUGCUGUGAUUCAACACCAAAAUUAAUUCCAGGCGCAACCAAAAUGAUUUUAAAAGCAACUUCAAGUGGGUUGUCUUUAUAAGCACGAGAUGAAGCCAAAAAAUCAUAAGGAAAAACACUAAUAAAUUAUGUAGUUACAGUAUGCUGAUUUUAUAUGUUUUGGAUGCACACCAAGGAGGGUGAUGGUUGGCUCCCUAUCGUGCUACAUGUAGACCGAUGUUUACAGCAGUACCAUCUACAGCAGCCCGGCCGUGGAGCAGACGAAUGGACAAAGAGAAUAUGGUACAUACACACAACGGAGUUUAUGCAUCGUAAAGAAGAAUGCCAUCGAUCAUUUGCUGGUACCUGGAUGGAACUAGAGAACGUCAUGCUGAGCGAAGCGAGCCAGACUCAGAGAAUUAAGAGUUGAAUGUUUUCUCUCAUCUGUGGAAGCUACAGGGAAAAAAUAAUAGAAGGGGGAAUCUUUGUGAAAAUAGAAGGGAGAGCAGUAAAGUAAGAGGCAGAGGGGAACCGAGUUCAUCGAAUUGUGCUGUGUGCAUGUGAAACUAUGCCAUGGUGCACGCCGGUCACGUAUACGUAACCAGGGUACACCUGCUGGGAAAUAAACAGGGCUGGGCUGGGCUCAGGGGCAGAGCGCUUGCCUUGCACGUGUAUGGCCUGGGUUCCAUCCUCAGCCCCAGAAAAAAUAAAUAAAUAAAUAAGACAGAGGUGUUGUAUCCACAUACAGCCAAAAACUCAGAAAUAAAAAAAUAAAUAGAAGGCAAAUA